rnacentral:misc_RNA from 1 species
GAUGAAGAACGCAGCGAAAUGCGAUAAGUAAUGUGAAUUGCAGAAUUCAGUGAAUCAUCGAAUCUUUGAACGCACAUUGCGCCCGCCAGUAUUCUGGCGGGCAUGCCUGUCCGAGCGUCAUUUCAACCCUCGAACCCCUCCGGGGGGUCGGCGUUGGGGAUCGGCCCUUUACGGGGCCGGCCCCGAAAUACAGUGGCGGUCUCGCCGCAGCCUCUCCUGCGCAGUAGUUUCCACACUCGCAUCGGGAGCGCGGCGCGUCCACAGCCGUUAAACACCCCAAACUUCUGAAAUGUUGACCUCGGAUCAGGUAGGAAUACCCGCUGAACUUAAGCAUAUCAAUAAGCGGAGGA